rnacentral:lncRNA from 1 species
CAAACCGCAGCUUUAAUCAGAGCCUGCCUGAUGAAACCUGUUUACACGCUUGCCAUUGUUCAUGAGCCACGUUCAUUAGGCAAGCAGCGUUAAUGACGAUCCCAAGGCAGGAACUUUAAUCAGAGGGGAGGGCGAGGGACAGCCUUCCCUGGUGCUGUUCCAAUGAGUGCUCCCAGCAGCCCCCAGCCCCCAGCAGCACGGAACACUGCCAAGUGUGGAGCAUAACUCGUUCAAGAAGGGGGAAAUGAGAGGCAAAGUAAUAAUCAAAAUGCUCCAAAGGAGAAGACCAGAGGCUUUCAUCAAGGAUGAGAAUAAAGCUGCGCCCUGGAAACUUGGAAGGCAGCAAACCUAAAGCUGGCAAAACAUGCCUUCACCAGUCAGACAGCUCCUUUGUGCUGUGCUGGUUUUUUACAUGGGCAGAUAGUGAUGGACAAGGGGGAAUGGCUUUAAACUAGAAGACGGGAGAUUCGGGUCAGGUAUUAGGAGGAAAUCCUUUACUCGGAUGCAGUGAGGAGCUGCCCACAGCUGUGGGUGCUCCAUUGCUGGAGGUGCCCAAGGCCACGGACAGGGCUCUGGGUGACCUGCUCACCCCCUCCAUGGCAGCAGGUUGGAACUGGGUGUGCUUUGGGGUCCCUUGCAACCCAGCCAUUCUAUGGUUCUACGCUACUGUGAUUCUACGAUUCCAUGUUUCUGUGAAUAAACAGGCUCCUGGGGUUGCACGGUGGUGGUGGGCUGAGCCCAGAGCUGCACGCGUUGGAGGUCCCAGGGUCCCACCAGGGCUCAGCCCGCGGUGUCAAACGCUUCCCUCUAAUAAGCAAGUCUGGGAUUGGCAUCACGUAGAGGCAGCACCCUCAUCGCAC